rnacentral:tRNA from 1 species
GGGCCUAUAGCUCAGCGGUUAGAGCAAAGGACUCAUAAUCCUUGGGUCGCCGGUUCAAAUCCAGCUGGGCCCA